rnacentral:rRNA from 1 species
AGAGUUUGAUUAUGGCUCAGGAUGAACGCUAGCGGCAGGCUUAACACAUGCAAGUCGGGCGGCAGCGGGGUGGGAGCUUGCUCCCACUGCCGGCGAGCGGCGCACGGGUGAGUAACACGUAUGCAACCUGCCCCUGUCAGGGGGACAACCCGCCGAAAGGCGGGCUAAGCCCGCGUAUAUCGCCCCGGGGCAUCCCGGGGGGAGGAAAGGAGCGAUCCGGACAGGGAUGGGCAUGCGGCGCAUUAGCUGGUCGGCGGGGUAACGGCCCACCGAGGCGACGAUGCGUAGGGGUUCUGAGAGGAAGGCCCCCCACACUGGUACUGAGACACGGACCAGACUCCUACGGGAGGCAGCAGUGAGGAAUAUUGGUCAAUGGGCGGGAGCCUGAACCAGCCAAGCCGCGUGAGGGAAGAAGGUACAGCGUAUCGUAAACCUCUUUUGUCAGGGAACAAAGGCGGGGACUAGUCCCCGGAUGAGGGUACCUGAAGAAAAAGCAUCGGCUAACUCCGUGCCAGCAGCCGCGGUAAUACGGAGGAUGCGAGCGUUAUCCGGAUUUAUUGG